GAUGAACGCUGGCGGCGUGCCUAAUACAUGCAAGUCGAGCGAACGGACGAUAAGCUUGUUCUUUUGCUGUUAGCGGCGGACGGGCGGGUAACACGUGGAUAACCUACUUCUAUUACUGGGAUAAAUUCGGGAAACCGGAUCUAAUACCGGAUAAUAUUUUGUACCGCAUGGUUCAAAAGUUAUUGACGGUCUUGCUGUCUCUUAUAGAUGGUUUCGCGCUGCAUUAGCUAGUUGGUAAGGUAACGGCUUACCAAGGCGACGAUGCAUAGCCGACCUGAGAGGGUGAUCAGCCACACUGGAACUGAGACACGGUCCAGACUCCUACGGGAGGCAGCAGUGGGGAAUAUUGCGCAAUGGGCGAAAGCCUGACGCAGCAACACCGCGUGAGUGAUGAAGGUCUUCGGGUCGUAAAGCUCUUUUGUUGGGAAAGAACAGAUGUAUAAGAAACCGUCGACGUCUUGACGGUACCUAAUCAAAAAGCCACGGCUAACUACGUG
rnacentral:rRNA from 1 species